AUUGAACGCUGGCGGCAUGCCUUACACAUGCAAGUCGAACGGCAGCACGGGAGCAAUCCUGGUGGCGAGUGGCGAACGGGUGAGUAAAGUAUCGGAACGUGCCCAGUCGUGGGGGAUAACGUAGCGAAAGUUACGCUAAUACCGCAUACGAUCUAUGGAUGAAAGCGGGGGAUCGCAAGACCUCGCGCGAUUGGAGCGGACGAUAUCAGAUUAGGUAGUUGGUGGGGUAAAGGCUCACCAAGCCGACGAUCUGUAGCUGGUCUGAGAGGACGACAAGCCACACUGGGACUGAGACACGGCCCAGACUCCUACGGGAGGCAGCAGUGGGGAAUUUUGGACAAUGGGCGCAAGCCUGAUCCAGCCAUGCCGCGUGCAGGAUGAAGGCCUUCGGGUUGUAAACUGCUUUUGUACGGAACGAAAAGGUUUGACUUAAUACGUUGGACUCAUGACGGUACCGUAAGAAUAAGCACCGGCUAACUACGUGCCAGCAGCCGCCGUAA
rnacentral:rRNA from 1 species